rnacentral:rRNA from 1 species
AGUCGAACGAGUUCUGAUUAUUGAAAGGUGCUUGCAUCUUGAUUUAAUUUUGAACGAGUGGCGGACGGGUGAGUAACACGUGGGUAACCUGCCCUUAAGUGGGGGAUAACAUUUGGAAACAGAUGCUAAUACCGCAUAAAUCCAAGAACCGCAUGGUUCUUGGCUGAAAGAUGGCGUAAGCUAUCGCUUUUGGAUGGACCCGCGGCGUAUUAGCUAGUUGGUGAGGUAACGGCUCACCAAGGCAAUGAUACGUAGCCGAACUGAGAGGUUGAUCGGCCACAUUGGGACUGAGACACGGCCCAAACUCCUACGGGAGGCAGCAGUAGGGAAUCUUCCACAAUGGACGCAAGUCUGAUGGAGCAACGCCGCGUGAGUGAAGAAGGCUUUCGGGUCGUAAAACUCUGUUGUUGGAGAAGAAUGGUCGGCAGAGUAACUGUUGUCGGCGUGACGGUAUCCAACCAGAAAGCCACGGCUAACUACGUGCCAGCAGCCGCGGUAAUACGUAGGUGGCAAGCGUUAUCCGGAUUUAUUGGGCGUAAAGCGAGCGCAGGCGGUUUUUUAAGUCUGAUGUGAAAGCCCUCGGCUUAACCGAGGAAGUGCAUCGGAAACUGGGAAACUUGAGUGCAGAAGAGGACAGUGGAACUCCAUGUGUAGCGGUGAAAUGCGUAGAUAUAUGGAAGAACACCAGUGGCGAAGGCGGCUGUCUGGUCUGUAACUGACGCUGAGGCUCGAAAGCAUGGGUAGCGAACAGGAUUAGAUACCCUGGUAGUCCAUGCCGUAAACGAUGAAUGCUAGGUGUUGGAGGGUUUCCGCCCUUCAGUGCCGCAGCUAACGCAUUAAGCAUUCCGCCUGGGGAGUACGACCGCAAGGUUGAAACUCAAAGGAAUUGACGGGGGCCCGCACAAGCGGUGGAGCAUGUGG